rnacentral:rRNA from 1 species
AGCGAACGCUGGCGGCAGGCUUAACACAUGCAAGUCGAACGGGCUUCUUCGGACGUCAGUGGCAGACGGGUGCGUAACACGUGGGAACGUGCCCUUCGGUUCGGAAUAACUCAGGGAAACUUGAGCUAAUACCGGAUACGCCCUUAUGGGGAAAGGUUUACUGCCGAAGGAUCGGCCCGCGUCUGAUUAGCUUGUUGGUGGGGUAACGGCCUACCAAGGCGACGAUCAGUAGCUGGUCUGAGAGGAUGAUCAGCCACACUGGGACUGAGACACGGCCCAGACUCCUACGGGAGGCAGCAGUGGGGAAUAUUGGACAAUGGGCGCAAGCCUGAUCCAGCCAUGCCGCGUGAGUGAUGAAGGCCUUAGGGUUGUAAAGCUCUUUUGUCCGGGACGAUAAUGACGGUACCGGAAGAAUAAGCCCCGGCUAACUUCGUG